rnacentral:rRNA from 1 species
ACGCUGGCGGCGUGCCUCAGAAGAAAGACGAACGCGAAAGUCCCCUUCGGGGGGCGAGUAGAGUGGCGCACGGGUGAGUAACACGUAGGUAAUUUGCCUUCGGGUGGGGAAUAACAGCCGGAAACGGCUGCUAAUACCGCAUAAUGCAGCGGCUCGACAUCGAGACAGUUGUUAAAGCGGGGGAUUCGCAAGAACCUCGCGCCUGAAGAGAAACCUGCGGCAGAUUAGCUAGUUGGCAGGGUAAUGGCCUACCAAGGCAACGAUCUGUAACCGGCCUGAGAGGGCGGUCGGUCACACUGACACUGACAUACGGGUCAGACUCCUACGGGAGGCAGCAGUCGGGAAUUCUGGGCAAAGGGCGGAGGCCUGACCCAGCAACGCCGCGUGAAGGAUGAAAUCCCUCGGGAUGUAAACUUCGCAAGAAUGGGAAGAAUAAGUAGAAGCUAAUACCUUCUAUGAUGACGGUACCAUUUGUAAGCUCCGGCUAACUCCGUGCCAGCAGCCGCGGUAAUACGGGGGGAGCAAGCGUUGUUCGGAUUUACUGGGCGUAAAGGGCGCGUAGGCGGCCACGACAAGUCAGUUGUGAAAUCUCUGGGCUUAACUCAGAACGGUCAACUGAUACUGUCGGGCUAGAGUGCAGAAGGGCAACUGGAAUUCUCGGUGUAGCGGUGAAAUGCGUAAAUAAUCGAGAGGAACACCUGCCGGCGAAUGCGGUUGCUGGGCUGACACUGACGCUGAGGCGCGAUAGCUAGGGGAGCGAACGGGAUU